rnacentral:rRNA from 1 species
GUGGGGAAUAUUGGACAAUGGGGGGAACCCUGAUCCAGCCAUGCCGCGUGUGUGAAGAAGGCCUUUUGGUUGUAAAGCACUUUAAGCGAGGAGGAGGCUACCGAGAUUAAUACUCUUGGAUAGUGGACGUUACUCGCAGAAUAAGCACCGGCUAACUCUGUGCCAGCAGCCGCGGUAAUACAGAGGGUGCAAGCGUUAAUCGGAUUUACUGGGCGUAAAGCGCGCGUAGGUGGCCAAUUAAGUCAAAUGUGAAAUCCCCGAGCUUAACUUGGGAAUUGCAUUCGAUACUGGUUGGCUAGAGUAUGGGAGAGGAUGGUAGAAUUCCAGGUGUAGCGGUGAAAUGCGUAGAGAUCUGGAGGAAUACCGAUGGCGAAGGCAGCCAUCUGGCCUAAUACUGACACUGAGGUGCGAAAGCAUGGGGAGCAAACAGGAUUAGAAACCCUGGUGUCC